rnacentral:sRNA from 1 species
GCCAGGCAUGGCGGUGCAUGCCUGUGAUCCCAGUGACUCAGAAGGCUGAGGUAGGAGGAUUGCAAGUAUAAGGCUGGCCUCAGCAACUUAGUGAUGCCUUUAGCAACUUGGCAAGACCCUGUCUAAA